CCUACGGGAGGCAGCAGUAGGGAAUCUUCCACAAUGGACGAAAGUCUGAUGGAGCAACGCCGCGUGAGUGAUGAAGGCCUUCGGGUCGUAAAGCUCUGUUGUUAGGGAAGAACAAGUAUCGGAGUAACUGCCGGUACCUUGACGGUACCUAACCAGAAAGCCACGGCUAACUACGUGCCAGCAGCCGCGGUAAUACGUAGGUGGCAAGCGUUGUCCGGAAUUAUUGGGCGUAAAGCGCGCGCAGGCGGUCCUUUAAGUCUGAUGUGAAAGCCCACGGCUCAACCGUGGAGGGUCAUUGGAAACUGGGGGACUUGAGUACAGAAGAGGAAAGCGGAAUUCCACGUGUAGCGGUGAAAUGCGUAGAGAUGUGGAGGAACACCAGUGGCGAAGGCGGCUUUCUGGUCUGUAACUGACGCUGAGGCGCGAAAGCGUGGGGAGCAAACAGGAUUAGAUACCCUGGUAGUCCACGCCGUAAACGAUGAGUGCUAAGUGUUAGGGGGUUUCCGCCCCUUAGUGCUGCAGCUAACGCAUUAAGCACUCCGCCUGGGGAGUACGGCCGCAAGGCUGAAACUCAAAGGAAUUGACGG
rnacentral:rRNA from 1 species